UGGCUUUUUGAUUAUAAUUUAAGGUCCGGCCUGCCCAAUGAUUUUUAAAUGGCCGCGGUAUUUUGACCGUGCUAAGGUAGCAUAAUCAUUAGUUUUUUAAUUGAAAGCUGGAAUGAAAGGUUAGAUGAAAAAAUAGCUGUCUCUGUUUAAAUUAAUUAGAAUUUUAUUUUUAAGUUAAAAAGCUUAAAUUUUUAUAAAAGACGAGAAGACCCUAUAGAGUUUUAUAAUUUUUUUAUUUAAAGUUUUUAGUAUUUAAAUAUUUAAAUAAAAAAAUUAUUUAGUUGGGGUGAUUGAAAAAUUAAUUAAACUUUUUUUUUAUUUGUACAUUGAUUUAUGAGUAUAUGAUCCUAAAUUAAGGAUUAAAAGAAUAAAUUACCUUAGGGAUAACAGCGUAAUUUUUUUUGAGAGUUCAAAUCGAAAAAAAAGAUUGCGACCUCGAUGUUGGAUUAAAAUUAAUUUUKGGUGUAGGAGCUAUAAAAUUAGGUCUGUUCGACCUUUA
rnacentral:rRNA from 1 species